GACGAACGCUGGCGGCGUGCUUAACACAUGCAAGUCGAGCGGAAAGGCCCUGCUUUUGUGGGGUGCUCGAGUGGCGAACGGGUGAGUAACACGUGAGUAACCUGCCCUUGACUUUGGGAUAACUUCAGGAAACUGGGGCUAAUACCGGAUAGGAGCUCCUGCUGCAUGGUGGGGGUUGGAAAGUUUCGGCGGUUGGGGAUGGACUCGCGGCUUAUCAGCUUGUUGGUGGGGUAGUGGCUUACCAAGGCUUUGACGGGUAGCCGGCCUGAGAGGGUGACCGGCCACAUUGGGACUGAGAUACCGCCCAGACUCCUACGGGAGGCAGCAGUGGGGAAUAUUGCACAAUGGGCGGAAGCCUGAUGCAGCAACGCCGCGUGCGGGAUGACGGCCUUCGGGUUGUAAACCGCUUUCGCCUGUGACGAAGCGUGAGUGACGGUAAUGGGUAAAGAAGCACCGGCUAACUACGUG
rnacentral:rRNA from 1 species